GCCUGGGGGGCUCAGUCGGUUGAGCGUCUGACUUUGGCUCAGGUCAUGAUCUCGUGGUUCGUGAGUGUGAGCCCCACCUCAGGCC
rnacentral:tRNA from 1 species